GCCUUCGUGGUGUAAUGGUCAGCACACUGAGCCCCUAUUUCAGAGGUCCGUGGUUCGAUCCCCGGCGAAGGCA
rnacentral:tRNA from 1 species